rnacentral:rRNA from 1 species
GAGACAGCAGCAGCCGCGGUAAAACGGAGGGCGCGAGCGUUACCCGGAUUUACUGGGCGUAAAGGGCGUGUAGGCGGCCUGGGGCGUCCCAUGUGAAAGGCCACGGCUCAACCGUGGAGGAGCGUGGGAUACGCUCAGGCUAGAGGGUGGGAGAGGGUGGUGGAAUUCCCGGAGUAGCGGUGAAAUGCGCAGAUACCGGGAGGAACGCCGAUGGCGAAGGCAGCCACCUGGUCCACUUCUGACGCUGAGGCGCGAAAGCGUGGGGAGCAAACCGGAUUAGAUACCCGAGUAGUCCCUGUCUCUUAUAC